ACACCAUGGUGAGGACAUUGACGUUGUAAAUGUUUAAAACCUUUCCCAAGCCUCGUAUAAAGACUCCCCAUCAUUCUGUAUGAAACUAGUUAUAUCAUUUCUUAGUUU